UGGGGAAAUUUUGGACCAUGGGGGCAACCCUGAAUCCAGCAAUGCCGCGUAAGUGAAGAAGGCCUUCGGGUUGUAAAGCUCUUUUGUCAGGGAAGAAACGGUGUUUCCUAAUACGGAAUGCUAAUGACGGUACCUGAAGAAUAAGCACCGGCUAACUACGUGC
rnacentral:rRNA from 1 species